AUACGGAGGGUCCAAGCGUUAUCCGGAAUCACUGGGCGUAAAGGACGCGUAGGCGGGUUGGCAAGUCAGAUGUGAAAUCCUACAGCUUAACUGUAGAACUGCAUUUGAAACUGCUAACCUUGAGUAUGGGAGGGGGAGAUGGAAUUAGUGGUGUAGGGGUAAAAUCCGUAGAUAUCACUAGGAAUACCGAAAGCGAAGGCGAUCUCCUGGAACAUAACUGACGCUAAGGCGUGAAAGCGUGGGGAGCAAACAGGAUUAGAUACCCUUGUAGUCC
rnacentral:rRNA from 1 species